rnacentral:rRNA from 1 species
GAUCAAGUGCCUUAAGAGCAUUCGGUGGAUGCCUUGGCGCUGAGAGGCGAUGAAGGACGUGAUACGCUGCGAUAAGCCGUGGGGAGCUGCGAAUGAGCUUUGAUCCGCGGAUUUCCGAAUGGGGAAACCCACCUUCGACAAUUCGUAUUGUAGUCUCUGUCUGCAAGGGCAGAGCCUGCACUACGAAUUGUCACAUGAAGGUAUUGAGCCCUGAAUACAUAGGGGUUCAAAGCUAACCCAGGGAACUGAAACAUCUAAGUACCUGGAGGAAAGGACAUCAACGAGACUCCGUUAGUAGUGGCGAGCGAACGCGGACCAGGCCAGUGCCUGACUGUAAGUUACCGGAAGUGGUUGGGAAACCACGCAUUAAUGGGUGAUAGCCCCGUACGGAUCUGCAAACAGUUGGGACAUGAGUAAGGCGGGACACGUGAAAUCCUGUCUGAACGUGGGGGGACCACCCUCCAAGCCUAAGUACUCCUCAGCGACCGAUAGUGAACAAGUACCGUGAGGGAAAGGUGAAAAGCACCCCGACGAGGGGAGUGAAACAGCACCUGAAACCGAAUGCUUACAAACAGUGGGAGCUCAAGGUUCGUCCUGGGUGACCGCGUACCUUUUGUAUAAUGGGUCAGCGACUUAAUCUGACGAGCAAGCUUAAGCCGAUAGGCGUAGGCGC